rnacentral:rRNA from 1 species
UCGACGGCAGCACAGAGGAGCUUGCUCCUUGGGUGGCGAGUGGCGGACGGGUGAGUAAUGCAUCGGGAUCUACCCUGACGUGGGGGAUAACCUCGGGAAACCGGGACUAAUACCGCAUACGUCCUACGGGAGAAAGCGGGGGACCUUCGGGCCUCGCGCGGCAGGACGAACCGAUGUGCGAUUAGCUAGUUGGCGGGGUAAUGGCCCACCAAGGCGACGAUCGCUAGCUGGUCUGAGAGGAUGAUCAGCCACACUGGGACUGAGACACGGCCCAGACUCCUACGGGAGGCAGCAGUGGGGAAUAUUGGACAAUGGGCGCAAGCCUGAUCCAGCAAUGCCGCGUGUGUGAAGAAGGCCUUCGGGUUGUAAAGCACUUUUAUCAGGAGCGAAAUACCACGGGUUAAUACCCUAUGGGGCUGACGGUACCUGAGGAAUAAGCACCGGCUAACUUCGUGCCAGCAGCCGCGGUAAUACGAAGGGUGCAAGCGUUAAUCGGAAUUACUGGGCGUAAAGGGUGCGUAGGCGGUUACUUAAGUCUGUCGUGAAAUCCCCGGGCUCAACCUGGGAAUGGCGAUGGAUACUGGGUGGCUAGAGUGUGUCAGAGGAUGGUGGAAUUCCCGGUGUAGCGGUGAAAUGCGUAGAGAUCGGGAGGAACAUCAGUGGCGAAGGCGGCCAUCUGGGACAACACUGACGCUGAAGCACGAAAGCGUGGGGAGCAAACAGGAUUAGAUACCCUGGUAGUCCACGCCCUAAACGAUGCGAACUGGAUGUUGGUCUCAACUCGGAGAUCAGUGUCGAAGCUAACGCGUUAAGUU